GUCAGUGUGGCCGAGUGGUUAAGGCGAUUGACUUGAAUUCUACUUCUGGGUUUACAUCUGGAUGUACAAAAUUCGUCAUCAAUUCCGUUCGCGGGCGUAGGUUCAAAUCCUGCCGCUGACG